rnacentral:rRNA from 1 species
AUUGAACGCUGGCGGCAUGCUUUACACAUGCAAGUCGAACGGUAACAGGUAAGCUGACGAGUGGCGCACGGGUGAGUAAUGCAUCGGAACGUGCCCGAUCGUGGGGGAUAACGCAGCGAAAGCUGCGCUAACACCGCAUACGAGCAGAGGAUGAAAGCGGGGGACCGUAAGGCCUGGCGCGAUCGGAGCGGCCGAUGUCAGAUUAGGUAGUUGGUGGGGUAAAGGCUCAGCAGGGCAACGAUCUGUAGCUGGUCUGAGAGGACGACCAGCCACACUGGGACUGAGACACGGCCCAGACUCCUACGGGAGGCAGCAGUGGGGAAUUUUGGACAAUGGGCGAAAGCCUGAUCCAGCAAUGCCGGGUGCAGGAAGAAGGCCUUCGGGUUGUAAACUGCUUUUGUACGGAGCGAAAAGGCCCUCUCUAAUACAGUGGGCUCAUGACGGUACCGUAAGAAUAAGCACCGGCUAACUACGUGCCAGCAGCCGCGGUAACAC